AGAUCGUUUUGGGGACAAUUUCGAAGUAAUCCCUUGUAGCGUUCCCAUGCUUCAAAUAGCGACUCACCCAUUUGUUGCUCAAAGUUAGCUUUGGCCUUUUUGAGUUU